rnacentral:rRNA from 1 species
AGCGAACGCUGGCGGCAGGCUUAACCCAUGCUAGCCGAACGGGCUUCUUCGGAUGCUCGUGGCAGACGGGUGAGUAACACGUGGGUACGUACCUUUCGGUUCGGAAUCAUACAGGGAAACUUGUACUAAUACCCGAUACGCCCUUCGGGGGAAAGAGUUAUCGCCGAUAUGUCGGCCCGCUCCUGAUUAGCUUGUUGGUGAGGUAAUGGCCCCCCAAGGCGACAAUCAGUAGCUGGUCUGAGAGGAUGUCCAGCCAAACUGGGACUGCGACACGGCCCAAACUCCUACGGGAGGCAGCAGUGGGGAAUAUUGGACAAUGGGCGAAAGCGUGAGCCAGCCAUGGCGCGUGUGUGAUGAAGGCCUUAGGGUUGUAAAGCACUUUUGUCCGGGAAGAUAAUGACUGUACCGGAAGAAUAAGCCCCGGCUAACUUCGUUCCAGCGGCCGCAGUAACAC